GGAGACAGCUCUCCAUCCUCUUUCUAUGCCUGUCACUGCAUCUGUGCUCUUGUCUGACUCCUUCUCCCAUGUCCAGAGAUGAGAGGGGGUGGAAGAAUGACUGCAGAGAGAUGAGGGAGGUGGGAAGUCAACUGGAGGCCAAGAGAAUAGGAGAAGAAAAGGAGGAGGAGGCAAGUGAGAGGAGAGGAGCUGGCCACCACUUCCACCCAGUGACUGUUUUUGUGGCUCUUUCCAGCCUGUCACACAGCCAGACUCCUCGGCCAUGGAGAAGUGCCCAGAAGUGAUGUGUGCUGUUCACAUCUGAUUACCACC
ensembl:lncRNA